GAUGAACGCUGGCGGCGUGCCUAAUACAUGCAAGUCGAGCGAACAGACGAGGAGCUUGCUCCUUUGACGUUAGCGGCGGACGGGUGAGUAACACGUAGGUAACCUACCUAUAAGACUGGGAUAACUUCGGGAAACCGGAGCUAAUACCGGAUAAUAUUUCGAACCGCAUGGUUCGAUAGUGAAAGAUGGCUUUGCUAUCACUUAUAGAUGGACCUGCGCCGUAUUAGCUAGUUGGUAAGGUAACGGCUUACCAAGGCAACGAUACGUAGCCGACCUGAGAGGGUGAUCGGCCACACUGGAACUGAGACACGGUCCAGACUCCUACGGGAGGCAGCAGUAGGGAAUCUUCCGCAAUGGGCGAAAGCCUGACGGAGCAACGCCGCGUGAGUGAUGAAGGUCUUCGGAUCGUAAAACUCUGUUAUUAGGGAAGAACAAACGUGUAAGUAACUGUGCACGUCUUGACGGUACCUAAUCAGAAAGCCACCGCUAACUACGUG
rnacentral:rRNA from 1 species